rnacentral:rRNA from 1 species
AGAGUUUGAUCCUGGCUCAGGACGAACGCUGGCGGCGUGCUUAACACAUGCAAGUGGUGCGACGAACCAGGGCUUGCCCUGGGGCAAAGCCGCGAACGGGUGAGUAACACGUGAGUAACCUGCCCCGAUGACCGGGACAACCCGAGGAAACUCGGGCUAAUACCGGAUGUGGCGCACAGGCGUAAGCUUGUUCGCUAAAGGAAGCUUCGGCCUCCGCAUUGGGAGGGGCUCGCGGCCCAUUAGCUUGUUGGUGGGGUAACGGCCUACCAAGGCAACGAUGGGUAGCUGGUCUGAGAGGACGAUCAGCCACACUGGGACUGAGACACGGCCCAGACUCCUACGGGAGGCAGCAGUGGGGAAUCUUGCGCAAUGCGCGAAAGCGUGACGCAGCAACGCCGCGUGGGGGAAGACGGCCUUCGGGUUGUAAACCCCUUUCAGGAGGGACGAAGGCUCGCCGGUGAAUAGCCGUGCGAGUUGACGGUACCUCCACAAGAAGCUCCGGCUAACUACGUGCCAGCAGCCGCGGUAAUACGUAGGGAGCAAGCGUUGUCCGGAAUCAUUGGGCGUAAAGCGCGCGUAGGUGGCCUCAUAAGUCCGCUGUGAAAGUCAAAGGCUCAACCUUUGAAAGCCGGUGGAUACUGUGGGGCUAGAGUACGGAAGAGGCGAGUGGAAUUCCUGGUGUAGCGGUGGAAUGCGCAGAUAUCAGGAGGAACACCAAUAGCGAAGGCAGCUCGCUGGGACGUUACUGACACUGAGGCGCGAAAGCGUGGGGAGCGACAGGAUUAGAUACCCNNGUAGUCC